UGUAUGCGUGUGUAGGGGCAACUGGUAAUUCCACCCCACCUGCAGUGCUGGUGGAGGUGGGAGCCCAGCCAGCGGGUGACAGUGAGCGCCCAGGGGAGGCCUCGUGCCCUCUCUGUGAGGGUGACUGAAUCUGCCAGCUGUGGGGCUUGUCCGUGCCAAGUCUGCCCUGGCUCCGUCUAGUCGUAAUCGAUGCUGGCGCCAGGCCAGGCCCCCUGCCAGCUCCGGUCACACUCGGCUAGCGCGAGAGGCCCAGCCCAUUAACUCCUAGCCAAGGCCCAUUGUCUGGGUCCCUGCCCGGUGGUUUAUUUACUCCAGGCUGGACGGGAGGUGGCGGCCAGUGGGCGGGAGAGGAUGGGGUGGCAGGGAAGGCCGGAGUGGGGCAGCCUUCAGAGCCCCAGGGCAGGGGCUGCUGUUGGGGCUUUUGUUGUGAUUUUAGAGGCUUUGAAAGAUUGCUGGUAGAAGCAGACGCACUUCCAAGCCCACCUCAGGGGUCUUCUCAGAGGUGCAGGCUCUGCAGACUAUAGACCUUACACCCCACCCACGACCUGUACACACCACUCAACCUCAAAGCCCCUUGAAGUUUUUUUUACUUGUUUUUUUAACCUCGAACAUCCUCUUUAGCUUUUUAAGUUGGCAUUUAAAUCUUUUUAUCCCAAGGUCAUCUUUUC
rnacentral:lncRNA from 1 species